rnacentral:rRNA from 1 species
GCCAGCAGCCAUAUCAACCUGCAAUCCCAAUUGGCUACCCACUGAAGUUAAGCAGGGUUGAGCCUUGGUUAGUACUUGGAUGGGAGACCUCCUGGGAAGUUAUGGUUGCUGCUGGAA